UACGUAGGGGGCAAGCGUUAUCCGGAUUUACUGGGUGUAAAGGGAGCGUAGACGGCUGUGCAAGUCUGAAGUGAAAUGCCGGGGCCCAACCCCGGAACUGCUUUGGAAACUGUACAGCUAGAGUGCAGGAGGGGUGAGCGGAAUUCCUAGUGUAGCGGUGAAAUGCGUAGAUAUUAGGAGGAACACCGGUGGCGAAGGCGGCUCACUGGACUGUAACUGACGUUGAGGCUCGAAAGCGUGGGGAGCAAACAGG
rnacentral:rRNA from 1 species